UACAGAGGUCCCGAGCGUUGUUCGGAUUCACUGGGCGUAAAGGGUGCGUAGGUGGCGUGGUAAGUUUGAUGUGAAAGCUCAGGGCUUAACCCUGAAAUGGCAUUGAAUACUACUGUGCUGGAGGUUUGGAGGGGGGACUGGAAUUCCUGGUGUAGCGGUGAAAUGCGCAGAUAUCAGGAAGAACACCAAUGGCGAAAGCAGCUCUCUGGGACGGUACUGACGCUGAGACGCGAAAGCGUGGGGAGCGAACAGG
rnacentral:rRNA from 1 species